CCUUUGUCCUGAAUUGUUCUCUGCACUGCUACAUGCCAUCUAAUCCUAAUUCUCUCUGUGUAUUCUCAAAGGUGAUAUGUGAAAUAUUUAAAGACAUCAGCAGAUUAGUUGUGCCUUGGGAAUAUCCAGUCAGAAGAGACUAGCCCUAAGAAUGGAAACAGAGCCCUGGAUACUCAUGCUUGUGGGAAAUCUUCUAUUAUUACAGGUUAGCAAUGUCCAUGCACAUUGGAAUAAGGAAUCUAAAUAGAUUACCUCAAUGAAUUAGCCCCACAAUUCCAUGAAGUCUGGUUUUUGGACAGGGAAGUUAAGGCUGUAAUCAGUGAAGUGACUUUCCUGAAACCACACAGCAAGUGAUCAUACUCAACUCAGGUGGGAUUAACAGUGGCACCCAGCUUUAAUCCCAGCACUCAGGAGGCAGAGACAGGCUGCUUGGUCUAUAGAGUUCCAGGAUAGCCAGGGUUACACGGAGAAGCCCUGUCUCGGAAAACCAACCAACCAAACAAACAAACAAAAAACCCCAAAUCCCCAAACAAACAAACAAACAGACCCAUUUAAGCAACAAAGGAAUGUCACUGGCUUAUUUACCCACGAGUACAGUGAAAUCUGGCUUGAAAUGUGCUUCAGUCUAAUGGCUCAAAUGAUUUCAGGUGUGGGGAUGGGAAGCCUAGGAAGUUGGCAGGGUCUGUGGUCAUAUGGACCAGGUGGCAGCUUCCAGCGUUCUGCUGAGGUUGGUGAGGAUGUGCCUCCUGGAUGUCUGAGGGCAUCUCACAUGCGUAAGCUUCCUGACUGCCCAGGCUUGACUUCAGCCAGCCAAUGGAAUGAAGGUGACUGCUCUGUAGCUCCUUUACAACAGACCUCGGGGGCUCUUCCCGGGAGACACUAACGUGUUUUAUUGCUUCUUGGCACUAGUGAUGAACUAUUUAUGCUAACGACAUUAUGCUUAGAGACAGUCACUGUUGAAAUAAGUACAAUGUACUGGAUCUUGGCUUUGCAAAGUUAAGAUGAAAUGGUAUGUUGCAAUCAA